AAGGCCAUCCGUGUCUUAGUUUCAAAGGGUGCAGGAUCUAGCUCCUCUGUUGGUCCUACCAAGUUGUUCCUCUUCGUUGAAGCUCCUUCAUCAGUCAACUUGCAUCUGCAUUUUCUUCCAAAAAGGGAUUUUAGGUACAGCAAAAAGAUAGUGCCUUUCAAAGUGCGGUUUAGUUGUCGAACCAAAAAUCUUGAAAGAGAAGUGUGUGCUGAUGAUACUCACCCUACUAAAGCAAUCACAUCACAUAGUUCUAAUGUCGAUGAUGUUAUCUGGUUUCAGUGUCGGCAUAUUAUCAAAGGCUUGGCUUCCAGGGCAUCCCCAACUGAAGAGUGAAAGGUAAUGCCAGCUAUAAUUUCACCUUAAAAAGCUAGAAAAAUAGGGUUGAAACCGG
rnacentral:misc_RNA from 1 species